AAGCCGGCCAAUGAAUCUGCUUAGCUGAAUGUGUUUCUGCAGAAAUUUAAAAAACGCUGGCAAUAGGAACGCCAUGUUACGAGCCUUAAAGACAUUGAAGUCAUUAAGGUCCCUGAAAAUGGCUACAAGA
ensembl:snoRNA SNORA33 small nucleolar RNA, H/ACA box 33